UACAGAGGGUGCGAGCGUUAAUCGGAAUUACUGGGCGUAAAGCGCGCGUAGGCGGCUUUGCAAGUCGGGUGUGAAAUCCCCAGGCUUAACCUGGGAACUGCAUUCGAGACUGCAUUGCUAGAGUAUGGGAGAGGGAAGUGGAAUUUCCGGUGUAGCGGUGAAAUGCGUAGAUAUCGAGAGGAACACCUGCGGCGAAGGCGGGUUGCUGGGCUGACACUGACGCUGAACUGCGAAAGCUAGGGGAGCGAACGGG
rnacentral:rRNA from 1 species